CGCAAUGGGCGAAAGCCUGACGGAGCGACGCCGCGUGAUUGAUGAAGCGAUUCGUCGUGUAAAGAUCUUUUAUGAGGGAUGAAGUUUAUUGACAGUACCUCAUGAAUAAGGGGCUCCUAACUCUGUGCCAGCAGGAGCGGUAAUACAGAGGCCCCGAGCGUUAUCCGGAAUUAUUGGGCGUAAAGGGUGCGUAGGUGGCAUUGUUAGUCUUUUGUUAAAUCUCCGGGCUUAACCUGGAAACCGCAAAGGAAACGGCAUUGCUAGAGUUUGUGAGAGGUGUGCAGAACUUAUGGUGUAGGGGUGAAAUCCGUUGAUAUCAUAGGGAAUACCAAAAGCGAAGGCAGUACACUGGCACAACACUGACACUGAGGCACGAAAGCGU
rnacentral:rRNA from 1 species